UUUACUGUCACUUCACAGGGAUGUCAAGCCCUGACACAGCCCCUCUAGUUUACUGUCACAGAGAUGUCAAGCCCUGACACAGCCCCUCUAGUUUACUGUCACAGAGAUGUCAAGCCCUGACACAGCCCCUCUAGUUUACUGUCACAGAGAUGUCAAGCCCUGACACAGCCCCUCUAGUUUACUGUCACAGGGAUGUCAAGCCCUGACACAGCCCCUCUAGUUUACUGUCACAGAGAUGUCAAGCCCUGACACAGCCCCUCUAGUUUACUGUCACAGGGAUGUCAAGCCCUGACACAGCCCCUCUAGUUUACUGUCAAACACUCACACCGCCUGUCCGUCUCUCCUCCAGUUGGACUUCCGGACGCCGCCGGGUUUCGACCGGACGCGUAACACUGAGAUCGGUAACAAGGACAUCAAGUUGAAACACCUGGAGGAGGCGUUCACCUCAGAACACUGGCUGGUCCGGAUCUACAAGGUCAAGAAGGAGGAGAACAGGGACCCCCUGGUGCACAGCAUCCGCAGCAGCAACAGCAGCAGACAAAAGUACACCUCUAAAAAGACGGCGAAGAGGAAGCGUGGUCAUGUGAAGAACAAACUUGCCCUCAAGAAAGGCAAGAAACUGAACAACAAGAAAUCAGUUUAACCAUAAAAACGACCACGAAGGCGCUACGAGGGAGAGAGAGGG